AGUGAACGCUGGCGGUAGGCCUAACACAUGCAAGUCGAACGGCAGCACAGUAAUAGCUUGCUCUUACGGGUGGCGAGUGGCGGACGGGUGAGGAAUACAUCGGAAUCUACUUUUUCGGGGGGGAUAACGUAGGGAAACUUACGCUAAUACCGCAUACGACCUACGGGUGAAAGCAGGGGAUCUUCGGACCUUGCGCGAUUGAAGGAGCCGAUGUCGGAUUAGCUAGUUGGCGGGGUAAAGGCCCACCAAGGCGACGAUCCGUAGCUGGUCUGAGAGGAUGAUCAGCCACACUGGAACUGAGACACGGUCCAGACUCCUACGGGAGGCAGCAGUGGGGAAUAUUGGACAAUGGGCGCAAGCCUGAUCCAGCCAUACCGCGUGGGUGAAGAAGGCCUUCGGGUUGUAAAGCCCUUUUGUUGGGAAAGAAAAGCAGCAGGUUAAUACCCCGCUGUUCUGACGGUACCCAAAGAAUAAGCACCGGCUAACUUCGUG
rnacentral:rRNA from 1 species